AUGCCUGCGCGUGCCUAAUACAUGCAAGUCGAACGAGUUCUGAUUAUUGAAAGGUGCUUGCAUCUUGAUUUAAUUUUGAACGAGUGGCGGACGGGUGAGUAACACGUGGGUAACCUGCCCUUAAGUGGGGGAUAACAUUUGGAAACAGAUGCUAAUACCGCAUAAAUCCAAGAACCGCAUGGUUCUUGGCUGAAAGAUGGCGUAAGCUAUCGCUUUUGGAUGGACCCGCGGCGUAUUAGCUAGUUGGUGAGGUAACGGCUCACCAAGGCAAUGAUACGUAGCCGAACUGAGAGGUUGAUCGGCCACAUUGGGACUGAGACACGGCCCAAACUCCUACGGGAGGCAGCAGUAGGGAAUCUUCCACAAUGGACGCAAGUCUGAUGGAGCAACGCCGCGUGAGUGAAGAAGGCUUUCGGGUCGUAAAACUCUGUUGUUGGAGAAGAAUGGUCGGCAGAGUAACUGUUGUCGGCGUGACGGUAUCCAACCAGAAAGCCACGGCUAACUACGUGCCAGCAGCCGCGGUAAUACGUAGGUGGCAAGCGUUAUCCGGAUUUAUUGGGCGUAAAGCGAGCGCAGGCGGUUUUUUAAGUCUGAUGUGAAAGCCCUCGGCUUAACCGAGGAAGUGCAUCGGAAACUGGGAAACUUGAGUGCAGAAGAGGACAGUGGAACUCCAUGUGUAGCGGUGAAAUGCGUAGAUAUAUGGAAGAACACCAGUGGCGAAGGCGGCUGUCUGGUCUGUAACUGACGCUGAGGCUCGAAAGCAUGGGUAGCGAACAGGAUUAGAUACCCUGGUAGUCCAUGCCGUAAACGAUGAAUGCUAGGUGUUGGAGGGUUUCCGCCCUUCAGUGCCGCAGCUAACGCAUUAAGCAUUCCGCCUGGGGAGUACGACCGCAAGGUUGAAACUCAAAGGAAUUGACGGGGGCCCGCACAAGCGGUGGAGCAUGUGGUUUAAUUCGAAGCAACGCGAAGAACCUUACCAGGUCUUGACAUCUUUUGAUCACCUGAGAGAUCAGGUUUCCCCUUCGGGGGCAAAAUGACAGGUGGUGCAUGGUUGUCGUCAGCUCGUGUCGUGAGAUGUUGGGUUAAGUCCCGCAACGAGCGCAACCCUUAUGACUAGUUGCCAGCAUUUAGUUGGGCACUCUAGUAAGACUGCCGGUGACAAACCGGAGGAAGGUGGGGAUGACGUCAAAUCAUCAUGCCCCUUAUGACCUGGGCUACACACGUGCUACAAUGGAUGGUACAACGAGUUGCGAGACCGCGAGGUCAAGCUAAUCUCUUAAAGCCAUUCUCAGUUCGGACUGUAGGCUGCAACUCGCCUACACGAAGUCGGAAUCGCUAGUAAUCGCGGAUCAGCACGCCGCGGUGAAUACGUUCCCGGGCCUUGUACACACCGCCCGUCACACCAUGAGAGUUUGUAACACCCGAAGCCGGUGGCGUAACCCUUUUAGGGAGCGAGCCGU
rnacentral:rRNA from 1 species